rnacentral:tRNA from 1 species
GAGGGUAUAGCUCAGUGGUAGAGUGCGUGCUUAGCAUGCAUGAGGUCCUGAGUUAAAUCCCCAGUAUCUCCA